UGACUUAUUGGCGAAUUCAAAAUUUUUCUGUCUUAACCUUUUGAUGUUCCACUCAACCUCUUUAUUUAUUAACAUAGCAAAUUGGGUUUGGAGGGAUUUUAUUUCCUGCAUUAUCCUUUCAUUAUUCGGUUUUUUAAUCAAUUUUUGUUCAUUGUCCAUAAUCUGUCUCAGAAUCUCUUUUGUCCUUCUUUCUUUGUUUUUUCUUUUCCACACAUUUUGUUGAAUAAAAAGGCCCCUCAUUACUGCCUUACUUGCAUCCCAUACCACACUUAUUUUCACCCCUUUAUCUAAAUUAUCCAAAAAAUAUUCAAAUAGUUUCUUCCGUAUUUUUCAACGAACUUUUGAUCAUCCCAUAGGUUAUCAUUCAGCCUCCAUCUGAAAGUACGUUCUUCAGCUCCCUUCAUCUCCAUUUCUAUUGGGUUAUGAUCAGAAACAACUUUGGCCUGGAUUUCAAUUUUUGGAUUCUUGGUGUCAAUUCAUUUGAUAUCCAUAUUUGAUCUAUUCUUGACAUUGAUUGGUUCGGUUCUGAGUGAUAUGUAAAUUGUUUCUCCAGAGGGUGCCUAAGUCUCCAAAUAUCUAUUAAAUUACAAUUCUUGGUCAUCAUAAAGAAUGUCUUAGGUAACUUUCCUUCUUUGUUCUUCGUUUUCCUUAAUCUGUCCAUUUCAAUUGAAACCACCCCGUUCAUGUCUCCCAUUAUUAUGAUUUUUUGGUCCAUAUGUUCAAAUAGCUUCUCUUCCAAUAAUCUAAAGAACUCUGUUUUGUUUCCAUUUGGUGCGUAAAUCCCGAUUAUUAUCAAUAUUUCACCUUGCCAUUUAAUACGAACCGCUAUUAUUCUUCCUUCCUCAUCCUUAAAUAAUUGGUGAGAUUCAAUUUUAUUUUUAAUGUAAAGUACUACACCUCUUUUUUCUCUUUAUCCGAAGAUAUGAAUUCAUUCCCUAACCUCUUAUUGAUAAGAAUUUUCCUAUGCUUCUUGGCCACAUGUGUUUCUUGAAGGCAUAUGAUGUCCAAGUUCUUCUUUUUUAGAAUACGUUCAAUUCCGUUCCGUUUUUUCUUAUCGUUCAUUCCAUUAAUGUUCCAGUUCCAUAAUUUUAACGUCAUUUUCCUUACCACUGAUCGAGUUUGAAUUUUAUCCUAUAUUCUUUCUAUCUCUUCUCCUUCUUCCUCUUCUUCGUCUUCCUCAAAUUUUCCUCCGUUCUGUUCUUCUUCUUCUCCCAAUUCUGGUUCCUCCCUCAGUCUUAGUCCGCCCUCUGCUCCUUUAAGCUCCUCCUCUCCCUGUUGAAGCUCUUUAUAUCUUCUUGUGAACUUUCCUAUUUCCUCGGGGCUUGUCAAUCUUCUUUUAACUCCUUUAUAAAAGAAUGAGACACCUUCCGGAAAUUCCCAUCGAAAGUCAAUCCUAUUUUUCUUAAGCAGUUGCACCAGUGGUUUAUACGGUUCUCUUCGUUUCAGCAGCCUUAUUGGAAUAUCUUUAAAUAUAAUUAUGUAGUUUCCAUCGAUAUAUAGUCUCUUCUCUCUAUUCCUUUGCAAAAUCAGGUUUCUCAUCUCUCUAUCUUUAAAUGUAACUAAACAGUCCCCUGGAACUUUCUUUACCCUGUUUGAUUUAAUUUUCAUUCUGUAUGCAUUUUGUAUUGUCUUCGCCACAGCUUCUUCCGCCAACUCCAUCCACUGCGCUAUUUCUUUUGUUAGUCUUUCUUUUAUAUUUUCAUUUUGUACUUCCGGAAUUUGCCUUAAUCUUAAAUUAACUUCUCUCUGUUUUAGUUCGUUCAUUGCAAUAGAAUCUUUUAUUUCUUCCUGCAUUUUAUUUAAAUCUGCUAUCUCAUUUCUCAUUUUUUCUUCUUCCCGCUUCAUUUCUUUCAUUUCCUGUUUAGUCUUUUUUAAUCCUUCAUCCACUCUUUUUGAGACCUCCUUGAUCUGUCCUUUCAAUUCACUUACUGUCUCCUCAAUCUUUUUGUCCAUUUUCCCAAUUUUAUUAUCCACCUGUUCUAAUUUUAUCUCUAAGUUUUUCUCACUUUGUUUUAUUUCUGCAAACAUCCUCAAUAUUUCUGUUCUAAAUUCUGUUUCUUGUUUAGAGGCUCUCCUAUCUGUUGGGGUUCCUCCCUCCACCCCUUUUUUUUUGCGUAUGUGACAUUAUUUUAAAUCUCAAAAUGUCGUAUAUUUCCACUAAAUAUUUCUUGUCUUUCCUGUCCUUCCUGUACAAAUAUUCUUAUACUUGCUAUUAGAUAAUAUUAAGUUGACCACCAAAAGUAGUAUAUACAACCCUAUAUAGAAUGACCACCAGUAAUACCAAAUACCCAGAAACCUAGGUAUUACAAAUCGCGACUACUUAGCCUCCACUCAAUAUGUUUAAAUGUUAUCCCUUCCCCCUAAACUUCGAGGGAAGGUGGUUGUCUGUUGGUUCUGAUAAUGUUCUGUUUAAUAAUCUUCUUGCCCCUAUUCGGGCUAAUCCAACCAACGCUUUGGUAAACACAGUCCCAAUUUAUAAGUUUGUAAAUCCGAAUGUAGUUCAGGUAGAAAUAACAGAGAUUUUGGGAGAACUCCACUUAUAACUUCAGAGGUACACCAAAUUCAAAUGUUAAUUUAAGUAUAAUUGUCAAUAUUCAUAUUAGUUAUUCCUUAACCACAUAUGUUCAUGCUGAGUAGAUUGAUGAGUUUAGUCCGACAGGGGGGGAGGCCUCUCCAGAGCAGUUAUCUUCUUUACUUCGUUAAGCCUCAAAAGCCUCAGCUGAGGUUUUCCAGAAUUAGGAUGUAAUAUUUGGCUUACGCCACAGGAGGGAGUCAGCCUCUUUCAAACUUAGGGGAAGUUUCUUAAUUAUUUUUUCAACUACCCUCCUUAUAUUCUUUUCUCUUUCAAUGUCUUAUAUACCGAGAUGACGAAGAAAAUUAUUAAACAAAAGGAAACCCCAAAACGUCGACCCAAAGUACCUUGAGGUGUUUUGUCUUCUCUUUCUAUACGUCUUUUAGAACCACUUGAUAUGGCGUCUGAAGCUCCUCUCCACCCCCACUUAAUAUGGCGUUGAAAAAUCUUCUCAAUACCUUAUCUUCUUCACAUAAAUCUUAACAAUAGUCCUCUUUGUAUUCCAAUUACCUCAGUCACACUAUCGACUGGGUUUUCUCUUCUAUCACCACACUUCUCUGCUCCCCCUUAGCUUUCUCCCUUUCUCUUUUAUCUUUUAAACUUGGAUAAACGGGAGAGACGGAAACAGUAGCCGCUAGCGGUAACUUACUUUCUCUUUCGGCUCUGCAUGCAGCGCUGCGUCUUUUUCAAUGAAGUCAAACCGGCGCUGAACUCGGACUCUUCUCUUUUUACUCGGAGACUUCCUUAUCUUUUUCCCCCCUUCGCGUUGUUAUAAAGACUGAGUUCUGAAUCCGAGUUUCUUUAUCUCGAGAGCGGGGCGCUAAUCCUUGCAGGCUCGGGGCUUCGCUGGUUCGCCGCUAUAAUGGCUGCCCAAUUACCCACUGCUCGUUCUGUCGCUCUCUUCACCUUUAUUCAAAGGCUACCUGACGACUGGACGAACAGCUUCCAGGCACUGCCGGGCACCUAGACCUCUAGACACCCUCCAGAGGUUUAGCGGGAGGUUUUUUUCGCCCUAAAAACCUCCAAAAUCGGCCGAAACAGCUAGGGCUCUCUCCGCAGAAAAAACCCUCGCCUGCAACAGGUUCCGCGCUCCACCGGAAGUCC